UACGAAGGGGGCUAGCGUUGCUUGGAAUCACUGGGCGUAAAGCGCACGUAGGCGGAUUGUUAAGUCAGGGGUGAAAUCCUGGAGCUCAACUCCAGAACUGCCUUUGAUACUGGCGAUCUCGAGUCCGGGAGAGGUGAGUGGAACUGCGAGUGUAGAGGUGAAAUUCGUAGAUAUUCGCAAGAACACCAGUGGCGAAGGCGGCUCACUGGCCCGGUACUGACGCUGAGGUGCGAAAGCGUGGGGAGCAAACAGGG
rnacentral:rRNA from 1 species